AUGAUUUUGACGAUGUUUUGAAUUUAGUUUUCUCAUAUUUUGCCAAACAGUGGAAAUUGGUGUUAAUCUAUUAAAUUUGGAACAAAAUUCCUGCCACCCCUGUUGUCUUACUUGCUUAAUUACUAACUUUUUAACAGCUUGAACUCUUUUAAAAUUUAUGUAAUUAUCGAGAGUUGGAUUUUGUUUAAACCUAAGGUAAGCCGCUUUACUAUCAUUGACAGCUGUCGCACACCUGUUAUUCCACCAAGGUACUGCAAUAUGUUUGUGCCUCUUUGAAGUAUUUGCACCGCUAUUUGAUAAGUUCCUACGUGGAACGGAACGUUCCACAGCUGUCAAAAUAAUUUUACAGAACCUAUUGUAAUUGUUUAAGGGUUCAUUGACAUCAUACUCGAAAUCCAAAAGUAAUCGAUUAACAGUUUCAGAAUAAAGAUCCCAAUUAACGAGACAUGCUGCAACGCUCAGAAUUCUUACAGAAUUUAGCUAAAUGUCCAUACCUCAAGCACCGGUAGCAUUGUUUAACUGGUGGUAUAUAUGGAGAGACAUUGUGGCGCCAACCUCCAAUAUCCAGAUAUUCAGGUAAUACAGAUGCAGCAAAAGUAAUUGUCACGGUUAGAGUUGGCUGUAACACAUAUCCAUGAGUCAAGAUUCUGAGUCAGUAGAAGUAUCUUCCGAAUAUAUAUCCUUGUCAUUACAAGGUUCAUGGUCUACAUCACCUGAAUCGUCAUCUUUUUUUUUUCCUUUUUCUACAACUGCGCUUCCCCAUGAAUGCUAAUUAUAUUACUGUCGCUGAAUUUAGUGAAAAUAUAAUAUUUUAUUCAAUAAUAAGAAUUGAUAGAGAUAGUUUUAAUAAAUUAAUAAAAAAAAUUUAAAAAACCCGCUUGUUCUUAUUCGAGUUUCCCGCCUUUUUUUUCGUCAUUGAUAUCGUUAUAAUUAAAAACUCACAGCUGACACUGACUGACUGACGUUGAC